GAACUGUUCAGGCUGUUGGACAUUCUCCAGACAUUAUGAAGCAACCUGAGGGAUAUUUGAAAAUAGUAUAGAAGUCUCCCUCAGGCCAUAAUUGAAUAUCUGGGGAUCCAAGUAAAUUAUUUCACAGCUCAUAAUAAUUGUCACAUAAUAUAGUCAAUCAAAAUAACUUGCAUUACCGACACGUGGAGUGCUUGUAAUCUCGCCAUCUGUUAAUAUUCUCUUCUAUAUAAAAUGGUUAAUCUAUGCCGUCCGUGAUUUAAUGCGACAUCAUAGAAUUACUAUGGCUUGAAUCGCUAUUUUCGCAUAUAGGCUGUGCAAUGGUGGUUGACCAUUGCAGUCUUUUAGCUGGUUAUUAAGCAAUGUUAUGGGUGCAUGCUUGCAUAUUACCUUGUCAUAUGCGACCUUGUGCUCCCCGGGUUCGGGCUGUAUCGAUCUUUCGGGCGAAAGAAUAGAUCUCUUCUUUCUUUCACGAUAUCAGCCAUUGGAUCAUGCAAGAACCGCUUCGAGAUCUUUGCCAGCAGAUAGAAGAGAGAGAUUGGAUUGCUUUAAAAUUUACACAAGAUGCGAUCUAACGGUUGGCAUCGUGAAAGAUACAACCCGAACCCGGGCUCCGCUUGUUUUACUAUGGCAGUCAGUACAAAAGUUGUAGUGCAUGUGAAUAUACAUAUGUAGAUCUACUGAAUAUACUUGUAUGAGAAGAAUCUCUUCAACCACCCCUGUACACAGAACAAUGCCAACGUCCAAAUCACUCCAUGGCAGAACGUAGCUCGCUUACUAAAGAUGAGGCCCUUUCUUAUCCAUGUAAGCCCAAGUCGCCCGACCAGAGCCCAUAAUUUGCCUGCGUAUCUCUGGUACGUGGGCCGGCCCUCUCGGCCCGGCAAAAGUUCAGAAGAGCUGCCUUGAGUGUACGGACCUUUCAUUAGUAAUAUUCUAACAAAAAACCAAAGUUCGGCUUCAGCGUCGAUCGGAACUCGGCUCUUCCUCGUUGCUUUUCUCUCUGGCUUUCUCUCUCGAUCUAGGGUUUGCAGGCAAUGGCGGGUGAAGAAAACCAAACGGCAAUCAAACGGCCUCAUCUCCCACUACCUGGAUUCUCGUCUUCGUCCCCAGGGCUGCAUCAUAGAGGCCAUAGGAAAGCUGAAGCAGGGUUGUGUUCGGGAUGCUUAUUGGUCUACCAGUAACAUUUGUCUACUAUUUUCUUCUUGGACUGUAGAGGAUGAACACAAGUUGGACUCACCUGUAAAGCUCGAUUUUCCAUUCUGUAGUGAUUUCACCACAAUAGCCUACAAUGUAACCCAUACCUGAAUACAUAUUCUUUCAGAUGAAUUUGUUGCUAUUCUUUUAGCUGGAAACGUUCAAGCCUGUGUUUUAAGGAUUUUUUUUUUUUUUUUUUUUUGUUAAGUCUAGCGAGAUCGUAAACCUAAAAUUGAGUCAUGAAUCAAGGAAAGUCCCAGCAAGAAAAAUUGACAAGAUUCCCUGAUAUCAUCUUAGUUCUAUGCUAAGGCAUGCCAUGGUACAAGCAGGUAUUGCAGGAGAGUAAACAAUGAAGGCAAUGAACAGAAACAGGGUAAAGACUCUGAACCAUCAUCAAUUUGUGGCCCCUCAUGAUAGGUUAACUGCCCUCCAGCUGCUGAACAGGAUUAAUUAUAAGAAGUUGCAAUGCCUUACUUUCUAGUUAUUUUUAUUGCUUACAGCAGGGAAAGGCAGUAAUGCUUGAACUUGGAGAAAAGUGGUGGUAGGCUGGCAAAAGCCUACUACCAGCAAAUCUAAUGAGGAUCGUCCAAAAGAAACAGAAUGCAUGGGAUGAGUGAAGUCAGAAGCGGUGGAGGAGGAAAUAAAAAGAGGGUUAGAAGAUAUCCAUUCUAAAGAAGACUGAUUAAAACAUGAACCUCCUCGAAAGACCUUUUUUUUUUUUGUAAUAAUGAUUAGAACAGAAGGAAGCUGGACGAAGCAAAGACAAGGCUUAGAAGAUAUCCAAUAUCCAACGAUUUCACCAAUUAAACCAGUUGGCACCCUUCGGACGAUUUCUGUGGAACAACACUUGUAGCAUCAAAGUGGGGAAAUAAAAUUAAAACAAUAGCAAGUCUGACAGCAAUGUGAGAUGAUGAUCACGAGCAUGAUGACUCUGAAGAAUCUAGUGUCAGGCACAGAAAGGACUACCAUUGGUGUAACCAGGAGAUCAGGAAACCCGGGAGACAUACAGAACAUUCUGCGUCUUCAGCAAUUUUUCAUGAUCUGCACCUUUGACUUCUAUUGUUCUUUCUAAUUUUGUGAUGUUUGUUUGUCCCACAACUAUCAGAGCAGCUGAUAUAAUAUGUUGGUGUUUCAUUUUCAGCUACUCUUCCACGCAUGGAACUAAGUAGAUUGGAAUGGUUGAACUACAAGAUUUGUGGUGGUAAAGAGAGAGACACCAAGAAAGUCAUGAUGUGUAAUCAUAACUGAUGGAUUUGGGGGCUCCACAGCAAGGACAAGUGCUUAAGAUA